rnacentral:rRNA from 1 species
UACGGGGGGGGCAAGCGUUGUUCGGAAUUACUGGGCGUAAAGGGUUUGUAGGUGGCCCGCUAAGUCACACGUGAAAUCCCUCAGCUUAACUGGGGAACUGCGUGUGAGACUGGCAGGCUCGAGGGCAGGAGAGGAACGCGGAAUUCCUGGUGGAGCGGUGAAAUGCGCAGAUAUCAGGAGGAACACCCGUAGCGAAGGCGGCACUCUGGGCCGAUACUGACACUGAGGAGCGAAAGCGUGGGGAGCGAACAGG